CGAAGAUAUCUCCAUCUCCUCUGAGGAACCCCAGGUGACCCUGGACAUCGUGGGAACAAAUCAGUCCAGAGGCUGUGCUGCCACCAUGGCUUUCAAAGAUACUGGAAAGACACCUGUGGAACAUGAGGUGGCAAUUCACUGAAUUAGGAUUACCUUCAGCAGCUGCAGUGUGAAAUCCCUGGAGAAGUUUCCUCAGAGAGGCCAAGAGCCCCCUGGAUUUGGCAACUUAGAGGAUAUUGGUGACUCCAGGAAGAGCUGCUGGGAAGGUGAACACCAUACCAGACUUCAGGCGUUAAGAGACGGCCAAAGAGGUCAACCUGUACAAUCAGCAGAUUCAACUUCCUUGAGCAAAGAGGAUCCUGUUGGAGGAGGUGGGCUGGUUGUUCAAAGAACUAAUCAGGUGAUUGGAGGGUUGAGACUUUCAGCCUCACCUCUUCAACAUCUGGGUAGGGGAGAAGGGCUAGAGAUUCAGUCACCAAAGGAAUGAUUUAGUUUAUCAUGCCUAUAGAAUGGAACCUCCAUUAGAGCCAUAAAUGACAGGGUUUGGAGAGUUCCUGAUAGGGGAACAUAUCAAGAAGCUAGGAGGAUGGCACACCUGGGG
rnacentral:lncRNA from 1 species